UACGUAGGGGGCAAGCGUUGUCCGGAUUCAUUGGGCGUAAAGAGCGUGUAGGCGGCCAGGUAGGUCUGCUGUGAAAACUCGGGGCUCAACCCCGAGCCUGCAGUCGAUACGGGCAGACUAGAGUGCUGUAGGGGAGACUGGAAUUCCUGGUGUAGCGGUGAAAUGCGCAGAUAUCAGGAGGAACACCGGUGGCGAAGGCGGGUCUCUGGGCAGUAACUGACGCUGAGGAGCGAAAGCGUGGGGAGCGAACAGG
rnacentral:rRNA from 1 species